UGUCCACAGAAAAAAAAUAAACAUCUAUGUAAAACUAUAAGCUUCUUCGCUCCACUCAAAAUUUAAAAAUAACUGAUCAAAGGAAAUAAGUAUUGGUAUAAAUAAAAUUAAGUCUAAAAUACGUGCUACACACUGACGAAAUUCUUAACAACCAUAACGAUAUCUAGGAACACGAAUUUGAGGCUGUAUGUGGCUAGUAUAAGAUCGACUACCAUGUAUGACUGUGAAGCUUGGACGACAACCAAGCAAACAGAGAAAAACCUGGGAACUUUUGAGAACAUCAUCAAUCUAUCAUCGAUGAAACAACUGGGAACGG